UAAUACGUAGGGGGCGAGCGUUGUCCGGAAUUACUGGGCGUAAAGGGCGCCUAGGCGGUUUGAUAAGUCCGCUGUGAAAGACCGAGGCUCAACCUCGGGGUGUCAGCGGAGACUGUUAGACUGGAGUAUCGGAGAGGAGUGCGGAAUACCUGGUGUAGCGGUGGAAUGCGUAGAUAUCAGGUGGAACACCGAUGGCGAAGGCAGCACUCUGGCCGAAUACUGACGCUGAAGCGCGAAAGCUGGGGGAGCGAACGGGAUUAGAUACCCCGGUAGUCCCAGCCGUAAACGAUGUCGACUAGGUGUGGGGGGAUCACUCCCUCCGUGCCGCAGCUCACGCAUGAAGUCGACCGCCUGGGGAGUACGGCCGCAAGGUUG
rnacentral:rRNA from 1 species